rnacentral:rRNA from 1 species
UGGGGAAUAUUGGGCAAUGGGGGGAACCCUGACCCAGCGACGCCGCGUGAGGGAAGACGGCCUUCGGGUUGUAAACCUCUUUUGUACGGGAAGAAGGAAGUGACGGUACUGUACGAAUAAGUCCCGGCUAACUACGUGCCAGCAGCCGCGGUAAUACGUAGGGGACGAGCGUUGUCCGGAAUUACUGGGCGUAAAGGGCGCGCAGGCUGUGCUGCAAGUCAGCUGUGAAAUAUCUGGGCUUAACCUGGAUAUGCGGUUGAGACUGCAGUGCUGGAGUGCUGUAGAGGCAAGUGGAAUUCCCAGUGUAGCGGUGAAAUGCGUAGAUAUUGGGAAGAACACCGGUGGCGAAGGCGACUUGCUGGGCAGCAACUGACGCUGAGGCGCGAAAGCCAGGGGAGCAAACGG